rnacentral:rRNA from 1 species
AAACCAACCGGGAUUGCCUCAGUAACGGCGAGUGAAGCGGCAAAAAGCUCAAAUUUGAAAUCUGGCACUUUCAGUGUCCGAGUUGUAAUUUGUAGAAGUAGUUUUGGGACUGGUCCUUAUCUAUGUUUCUUGGAACAGGACGUCAUAGAGGGUGAGAACCCCGUAUGAUGAGGCCCCCAGUCCUUUGUAAAACGCUUUCGAAGAGUCGAGUUGUUUGGGAAUGCAGCUCUAAGUGGGUGGUAAAUUCCAUCUAAAGCUAAAUAUUGGCGAGAGACCGAUAGCGAACAAGUACAGUGAUGGAAAGAUGAAAAGAACUUUGAAAAGAGAGUGAAAAAGUCGUUAAAUUGUUGAAAGGGAAGGGCAUUUGAUCAGACAUGGUGUUUUGCGCCCUUUGCUCCUUGUGGGCGGAGGAUACGCAGCUCACUGGGCCAACAUCAGUUUUGGGAGCAGGAUAAAUCUGUAGGAACGUAGCUUUCUCGGGAAUGUAUAGCUACGGAGUACUGCGUACCUCGGA